UGACAUCGAUGGAAGGCUCUAGAGAUAGGGCCCUCUCCCACAAGGAGACCAGAAGACAGAUGUUGCAUGGCUGUCGUCAGCUCGUGCCGUGAGGUGUACGGUUAAGUCCGCCAACGAGCGCAACCCUCGUCUUGUGUUACCAGCGAGUAAAGUCGGGCACUCACAAGAGACCGCCGGUGUAAGCCGGAGGAAGGUGGGGAUGAUGUCAAGUCAGCAUGGCUCUUACGAGUGGGGCUUCACACAUGCUACAAUGGGCGAAACAAAGGGCAGCGAUACCGCGAGGUGGAGCAAAUCCCAAAAAUACGUCCUCAGUUCAGAUUGCAGUCUGCAACUCGACUGCAUGAAGGCGGAAUCGCUAGUAAACGCAGGUCAGCUGUACUGCGUUGAAUACGUUCCCGGGUCUUGUACACACCGCCCGUCAAGUCACUUGAAUUGUCUUCACCCGAAGUCCGUGGCCCAACCCGCAAGGGAGGGAGCGGCCGAAGGUG
rnacentral:rRNA from 1 species